CUUUUUUGGAUUGAUUCAUAGGCUAGGCUUACGGCCAACAAUGAAAUUAAUAGUAGUACUAUGGUGAGUGUAGUUGGUGGGUUAUAUGUGAAGCUCUGGGUAGAGGCAGGACUAGUACUAUUUCUAGAUCACAUAGUAAGAAUGCAAUGGCGACUAGGCAAACUUUUAUGGAGAAAGGUAGACGGGCCAGUCCUAGUCGGUCAAAUCCGCAUUCGUAGGGACUUGGUUUUUCUGCAUAAAUAUUUAAUUGGGGUAAUCAGAAUGCAAUUAACAGGAGUAGAGUAGAUAAUAGCAUGUUAGUAAGUAGGGCUCAAUGAUAUUUAUUAUUCCUUUUUGGAUUAUACCAAAACUGGUUGAUUGGAAGUCAACUGUACUGAUUAAUACUAAAGGAGUAAGAUCCUCAUCAGUAAAUAGAGACAUAGAAGAGCCAUACGACAUCUACGAAGUGUCAACACCAGGCAGCGGCUUCAAACCCGAAAUGGUGAUUAGAUGUGAAGUGGAGUUUUAGUUGUCGCAGGAAGCGAACAAUGAGGAAAAUAUAGCCAAUAAUCAUGUGAAGUCCGUGGAAUCUUGUGGGCUAUAAAGCAAAUAGAGCCGUAGGCUCCAUCUGAAAUUGUAAAGGAUGUUUCGUAACAUUCUGAGGCUGGGAGUAGUGUGAAAUACACCUCUAGGGAGAUUGCGAUAAAUCAGGCUUGCAGCGUGUGUUUUCCAUUACCUUCUAUUAAGCUCUGAUGGGCUCAAGUGACACCUGUUCCCCGGGCUGCUUCUCUGAAACUUCAUUCGCUGAGGCUGUGCUGGGCUUCCUUUGUCAGGAUGAUUUUGGCCUCAGGUAGACCCUAUCCUUGCUGUAAUGCCCAGUGCGGUGGUGAGCAGGUGAUUCUCCAACAUGACAGUUGCUCCGGGGGUGGUUUUCCUGCAGCUUGACUGGUCAGCCCAUCACUGACCUCUUCAGAGACCUUGAUGCUUUCUCUGUCUCUGCUCUGUCGUCUGCUUUUCAGCCCAGCCACCCCUCGCAUGCUGCGUGUUGGCUGCAGAGACGCCCCGCAUCUCGUCGUAAAGGCACAGGUGAGCCAGGAGGAAAGAAACAGCCUCCCUUGAAUCUUCUAGAGUUUGGUCAAAUGACUUUUGCCUCCACCUGUGGCUGCUGCACUGCCCUCUGGGACACCCUGGAGACGGCGUUUUCACCUGCCUUGUCUCAGCGUCUGCCGUCCCUGCUCUGAGCAAAGCGUUUCUAGCAUUUCCAACAUGUCCGACGGUUGUUAUGUCCACCGCGACCGCCCUCUGCCUGCCCAUCUGUCUGGGCUUUAUUUUUGGACUCGAGUGCAGUAAUUGAAGAUUUCUGCUUCUGGCUAUGAUGGAUUAGUUUGCAGCUGACCAAACUGAAAGCCAAGAACACAAGAAAUGGUAAAUACAAUGAGAACACAUUUUUGAAGGUACCAGAGAGUUAUCAAGGCAGUUAGAACGUGUACAGCCAAGAACCUGGAGAGAAGGAAAACACAUUGGAGGACAAGAGAGAACCUAAAUAAGACACGUACCUGGUGCGUUUUAUGAAAUGCCACAAACGUGACUCAGAACCAAAGCGGAUCAAUCGCCUUACGUGUGUGCAGAUGGCAGUGGAAUUCUAGUCAUGAACCUUCUGGCCUCCUUGGGAAAGAGCCUGAGCUGGCCCGCUGGGGUAUGAGAGGGAGAAGCUUAGCCAGACCACACCCGUGGGAGGAGAGAUGCCUCGCUGACCCACAGGUGCUCUACACAGAAGAGAGAGGCCAGCUGAGAUCAGAGAGCUGCCCAGCUGGCCUGUAGACUAGGUGCAGAGCACUAUUUGCUUUUCUGUGCUCCAUACCCAUCACCGUCAAGUUGAAAUCAGAAUAAUUUCAAGAGCAGGCUCGCUUUGGCUGCACGUGUACUAAAGUUGGAACAAUGCAGAAAGAUUAGCGUGGCCCCUCAGCAAGGAUGAUGUGCAGAUCCACGGAGACUAAUUUCAGGAGCUAAAUCGGAGUGUUGUGAAUAGUCGUAGAAGCAACCGUGAAUAGCGUCUGUCACAGAGAAAUGAGCGGUCCUUGGCCACAGCACAUAAAGCUGCUCCAUGGAGCUGGGGAGCGUGCCCUGUGGUCUGUGCAGGGGCUGAAAAUGUCAAGACUUGAGAAGGACUCGUCUCCUCUGUUCCCUUCAGGAUGUUUUAAUGAUUACCAUGUGAUUACAGAUACACUGUUUUACUUCUUGAAAGACGUGGGGAGAUUAAAGCAAACAGACAACUGACAUCAAAUUGCUAAAUUAAAGGAGGAAGCUCCCGUGAACUCUGGGCUGGACGCCGUCCAGAAAGGGAUCUACCUUGCUGUGACAUGCCUUGAGUCAUCCGCUCCUCUGGCCGGGCCCGUCAUUCUGGAAUCUCUAAAAUGCUUCUAUGAGAGAAAGACAGAACAUGAGUGGGGGAGGGGCAGAGAGAUGGAGGCACAGAAACCCAGGUAGGCUCCAGGCUCUGAGCUGUCAGCCCAGAUCCCGACGUGGGACUUGAACUCACACACCACAAGAUCAUGGCCUAAGCUGAAGUCGUACACUUAACUGAGCCACCUGAGCACCCCUAAAUCUUUUUAUAUGUAAGAAAAGGUAUGUCUAGAAAUCCCUUGAGAUUCAUUUUAUAACAGGAUAAUACAUAGAUAAAUUACUUUAAUGUCUUCUAUCCUUCUUUUGCAUAUAAAAAUUAGAAAGAUGAACUCACUCAGCCAGGCACAUAGUUAGACAAUAAGAAAUUAGGAGAAGCCCCAAAGGCCGGGGCAUCUUUUUUGCAGUUUGUCUCCUGUUUAUUUGUACAUUUCAGUCAACAGGAAACUGCAGUUCAUUCACUAUACAUAGAAUCUUUUCAUCUGUAAGGUCACAAAUAACAUAUAAAAGUAUGCUUUCAUACAGAAUGUAUUACAAUAUAUGCAUAAGCUCACGUGCGUGCAAAGAUGUAAUUUUCAAUGAAAAAUGCAUGCAAAUAUUAUUAUAUUGGAAUCCAUUUUGGCUAAAUAUAGGAAGACACAUGUUAGGUAAGGCUGCCACAAACUUAGGAAAAUAGAAUAAACAUCGUAAGUUCUGGCCAUUGCAUUUGAAUCAGUACUGAAAUGAGUAUUGUAACCUAUAGUGAAAAAUGAAUGGAGCUUUCCGUGAUGAUUUUCCCCAAAGUGUGUUCUUUGGACCAUGAGUGUUAGAGCUGGUUCACAGUAAGUGUUUUAGUGGAAAGGGGUACUUUGGCCAAAUACGUUUAUAAACUCUUUGGUUGGACAACAUUAUCCACUUUCCACUGUUGUGUAAGAGUUCAGGUGCUUCAGGGUACACAAGUGCCCAGUGCAUGUCCCAGAGGGAAGGUAGACAGCAAUUCUCUGUUCCAUUUGACCAUGGGACUGUUAUGUAAAUGAGGAUCGCACAAGAGCUGUGUUGCUUGGAAGAUGUGUGUAAACUGUUUUACAUUAUGUUGUCCACACAUGUCAUUUAUUACAUGUUAUGUGCGAUCUGUGCAUUUAAUUCCAUAAGGCUUUAGUGGACAUAUUUCAUACACAUGUAGAAGUAUAAAUAUAUAUAAUGGAAUGUAUAUGUGUAUAUAGUUAAGUACACUUUCUAGACGGAACCUUAAUUUUCCUCUAUGGGAACAAAUCCUUUGAGUCCAGACUCACCUGAACAAUAAAAGUUUAAUUUCAACUUGCCCUGUGUAUAGGGUAGACAUUUCGUAAGGAUGAAUCAGACCGUAAAUGACAGUAAAACAUUGCAGGUUAUGUCAGGGACUCCUUUUUUAUCACUCUGUUUCCUACAAGGUGAAGAUUUGUAGGUGUAUUAAAGGCGAGUCAGUUGAUGACGUGUACUUUGAGGUCUUGAUUCACACAUCUCAAAAAAACCAGAAUAUUAUUUUUCAGCAUUGUUUCUUAUAGGAAGGUCUGUUUGAAAAUGAGCGUUCGCCUUUAAGGCUGCUGUGCAUGUCUUAAAACACUGUAGAAGAGGAGCAGAUCUGUGGAGAAAGUAUUUUAAUGAGCCAACUUCUAGGGAUGAGCAAAGUCAGGCAAACUGUCAAAAACGAGCCGCUAAGCUCACUGGGUGGUGUUCUCCAAAUGCAAGUCAUUCUCUAUUUCGCUCCUCUGAAAAUAAUUUAACACCAUUGUUCUUGUUUACCUACAGUGAUCACCAUUUAAAAUGUAGCUGAGUAGUUUUUCUUCUUUCCCAGGCUACACUUGGUGAAAUUGAUCCACCCAGCAGGUUGUGUGUGUGAUGACACAAAGAGGAGUCAGAAAUCGCACACCUCCCAAUUAAACAGCUUAUUCAUGGUCAAUAUAUUUGCCAUCCAUCCCUGUAGUGGCGUUGUAUCUUCUGUAAUUCACACUGUAUCACAGACUAUUCGUGCGAGCUAAUUAUAAUAAAACAUUGAGGUUACUUAAGAGGUGAUUUUUUAAAAUACUGUUAUAGCUGAAGACUCACUAGAUUCAGAUAAAAAAGACUAUUUCGGGGUGUCAAUUAUGGUAGCCCCCAGUCACGUAUGGCUAUUUAAGUUUAAAUUGAAUAAAAUCAAAUGCUGCUAAAUAGCUUCCUAGCUUGGUAGUAAUCUUUCUUUAUUCUUUGUAAUUUUUUUUUUUAAUUAAUCAGGAAAGAGAAGUGCAAGUGGGGAAGAGGUGAAGAGAGAGGGAGAGAGAGAAUCCCAAGCGGGCUCCACGCAGUCAGUGCAGAGCCCCAUGCGGGGCUUGAUCCCACGUCCCGUGAGAUCAUGACCCGAGCCAAAAUCAAGAGUUGGACACUCAAUCAGCUGAGCCACGCAGAACCCCAGGUAGUUAUCUUUCAAUAUGCAAUAACCACAUGUAGCUUUGGACUAUUAUACUGGACAGAGUAGAUACAGAACAUUUAUAUCAUCACAGAAAGUUCUUUCAACAGCCCCAUAGAUCCUCUUGUUCCUAGAUGAGAUCCCAAAGUAUAUGAAGGUAAAAUUCUAUGUCCAAAGACAUCAGGGACUUGUUCAAGUUCAUAUUACGUAACUUACUAAAUUUAAAUGGAAUCUGGCUGUGUUUGUAACAGUGUGAGCAUACAUAUUCUUGAGUGUUGUUAUAAAGUGAUUGGAUAAAGUGAUUAUCAGUAGUCUUAAAAUUGGAUUUAGAUACGUGAUUUUUAAAAUGUUUCUGAGGGGCUCCUGGCUGGCUCAGUCAGUAGAGCAUGUGACUCUUGAUCUUGGAGUUAUGAGUUUAAGUCCCACAUCGGGUGUAGAUAUUACUAAAGAAAUCUUUUUUAAAUAAAAACAAAACUUUCUAAAAUGCAUUGGAAUAUAAUUUCCAUGAUACCUCCAUGUUAAGUGCAGAUUUCCAUGAAUUAAAAAAAUGUACAUACUAAUUAAUAUAAGCACCAACACCUCCAGAUAGAGAAUUUCACCUCAAGAGGUUCUUUUGGGACCCUGCCCAGUCAAACCUACACCAAGGGCCAGCCUCAGGCAACCAGUAACCUACUCUCUGUCAGGAUAGAUUACACUUCUCUUUUCUGGAGUUCAAGUCCUACACAUAUAUUUAGUGUCCUUUUUCCUGUUUGUUUUAAAUUCUGUAUGCUUGCUAAACUCACUUUUUUUUAGUAGUUACUUUCUUCAUGUAGAUUCUUUCGGAGUUUCUACAUAGAUGACCAGGCUGGUUUUUUGUUGUUGUUGUUGUUUUUAACAUUUAUUUAUUUUUGAGACAGAGAGCCAGCAUGAACAGGGGAGGGUCAGAGAGAGGGAGACACAGAAUCCGAAGCAGGCUCCAGGCCCUGAGCUGUCAGCACAGAGCCCGACGCGGGGCUCGAACUCGGGGACUGCGAGAUCAUGACCUGAACUGAAGUCAGACGCCCCACCGACUGAGCCACCCGGGCGCCCCAGUGACCAGGCUAUUUGUAAAGACGGUUCCGGAUCUUCAUUUCCAGCAGUGUGCCUUUUAUUUCUUUAACCGUAUUUCUUUGGCUAGGAGCUCCAGCACAACAGUGAAAGGAAUUGUAAGAGUGAACGUUUUGGGGCACCUGGGUAGCUCAGUCGGUUGAGUGUCUGUGUCUAGAUUUGAGCUCGGGUCCUGAUCCCAGGGGUGUGGGAUCGAGCCCUUCAUUGGGGUAGGCACUGGGCAAGGAGCCUGCUUAAGAGUCUCUCUCUUUCCUCCUCGGCC